UGUUGUCCUUUUUUUCUUCUUUGUCAAUUACAGGCCGAGGUGAUUAUUAACUAUCACAUAGGAGAGACGGUCCUGUCCCUCCAGAAAACUACCCUCAUCCCUGGAGGAUCAGAGUCCCUGGUGUACACCACACUAUCGGGAGGCAUUGGCAUCCUGGUGCCAUUCACCUCUCAUGAGGAUCAUGACUUCUUCCAGCACUUGGAGAUGCACAUGCGCUCUGAGUUUCCCCCUCUGUGUGGCCGUGAUCACCUCAGCUUCCGCUCGUACUAUUUUCCAGUAAAGAAUGUGAUCGAUGGAGACCUUUGUGAGCAGUUUAACUCCAUGGACCCACAUAAGCAGAAGAGCGUCUCUGAGGAAUUGGACCGCACGCCUCCAGAAGUGUCGAAGAAACUGGAAGACAUCCGAACACGCUAUGCCUUCUAGUAUCUUCGCAUCUGGCAGGCGCACCAUGAGAAAAUGUAUUGUUUUUCCAGGCCUCCCAUGGCUGUGGUCUCAACUUUUCUACCACAAGUAUAGGAGCAACAUUUUGGUGAAGGCUGAAGGAAGUUCCCCCUUUAACUGGGGCCAGCUGGGAGCUGUCACAGUCCCAGUGGUCAAUGACCUUGUCCUGCUUGAAAUGACUAUUGGUACUAUACUCAGUACAAAGCAUCUGUUUUAUUUA